GUCUUUUUCAUGGCUGGUCAAGAAAAAGAAUGCAGUAAUGCAAUACUGUUGAAGAAAACGCGUUACUUUGCUUCUUCUCCACCUCCUUCAUGACCACCCCGAUCAAACCCAGAACCCUUCUGUCCUUUCUACUUCAACCACUGCUCCAAAUAACCAAGUUCUUUCUUCUGCUACAACAAUAAAUGCUUUCAUCGCCGGUACCAAUUCUGAUCACGUUACAUAGAACAACCCAAUAACCUUCCCUUCUAAUUCUUCAACCAACACCGUACCAACAUCGCCGGCUCCGCCUCCUAGUUAUGCUUUUGCAGCCCAUGCCCCUUACGUCCCGCCACCGCCUCGUCCCACCACAUUUCCUUUCUCGUCCUACAGUUUCCACAAUUUAUUUAUGCCUCGUCCUGAUUUUUUUAGUGCUUUGACUAGUGGGAAGGUCCCUCAUCGUUAUCUACUGCAGGCCGCCCAGUGCCAGUGCAACUGCAAGUGCCUCCUCCUUCACAGGCGCUGCCGCCGCCUCCUUGUCUUGAUCAUAGUCAUGCCAAGAAAAUCUAGAAUGAUGUCAAUGUGUAUAAGAUACUGUUGUUACUUGUGUUUGCUGAAGAAAUUAACAAGGAACAUCCAAAACUAGCAAUGCUAGAUACAAAAGAUAGGAGAAUAUCAAUCAAAUCAUAAUGAUAGCAGAAACUGAUGGUGCUGUUUCCUCUUCCAUUACUGUUGACUGUGCUGUGGUAAAGUUGAGAUUUUGAGUGAUGGCCAUUUGGUGGUAGUAAUAGAGCUUGGACUGAUGUUGUUGUGAUGGUAUUUCUGUGGUGAUUGUGGUGGACCUGUAGCAGUGGUAGGAUAGAUGAAGAUGCAAGUCCAUUAGCUGUUAUGUGACGGAGGAAGACGUUGAUUGGGUUGUUAGUUGUUACUGUAGGGUGGCGCUGGCUGAGUGGAUGCUGGUGGGCCUUGGUGCAACGGUAGAGUUGCUUCUUUCAUGGGUUCAAGCUGUGGACAACCUCGUUGCAGAAAAACAAGGAGAUAGAAGGCUACAUAUGAUAAAGGAUCCUAAUCUCAUGCAUUGGGAUGCCCACUUUAGUUGUAGGAUCUUGAGGUAGUUCAGAUUCAAAUAAUUUUUACCUGAAAAUGUUGGAUUUGGAUUUGAGAGUUCUCCAAUAUAGACAUGCUUCCUUUGUGUUCACAAACUUUAUUUGAUAUGGAUACAGGGAGACUUGGACUACUUCUCAAGCUUUAUAUGUUGGGGGAUUUUGAUUACUAUUUACUAUUACCCUUCUCAAAAUUGAACUGUAGAUUUGUGCAACUGUACCAUGAAAUCUAUAAGCC